rnacentral:rRNA from 1 species
UACGAAGGGGGGCUAGCGUUGCUCGGAAUCACUGGGCGUAAAGGGCGCGUAGGUGGCGACCCAAGUCGAUGGUGAAAGCUCGCCGCUUAACGGCGAGUCGGCCACCGAUACUGGGUUGCUCGAGCACUGUAGAGGCUAAUGGAAUUCCGGGUGUAGCGGUGGAAUGCGUAGAGAUCCGGAAGAACACCGGUGGCGAAGGCGGCCUGCUGGGUUCUGGCUGGACACUGAGGCGCGACGAGCGUGGGGAGCGAACAGG